rnacentral:rRNA from 1 species
UUUCGAGAGUUUGAUCCUGGCUCAGGAUGAACGCUGGCGGCAUGGCUAAGGCAUGCAAGUCGAAUGGUUUAGCUUGCUAAACCAUGGCAAACGGGAGAGUAACACAUUGGUAAUCUACCCCAAGGACGAGAAUAACCCGGAGAAAUUCGGGAUAAUACUCGAUAAUAGUGGAGAGCGCAUGUUUUUCACUUAAAGUUCCGGCGCCUUGGGAGGAGCCUAUGGCUUAUCAGCUUGUUGGUGAGGUAAAAGCUCACCAAGGCUAUGACGAGUAGCGGGUGUGAGAGCAUGGCCCGUCUCACUGGGACUGAGAUACUGCCCAGACUCCUACGGGAGGCUGCAGUCACGAAUCUUCCACAAUGGCCGAAAGGCUGAUGGAGCAAUGCCGCGUGUAUGAAGAAGCCCCUCGGGGUGUAAAAUACUUUUAUUAGAGACGAAACAAUGACGGUAUCUAAUGAAUAAGGGGCUGCUAACCUCGUGCCAGCAGCAGCGGUAAUACGAGGGCCCCGAGCGUUAUCCGGAUUUAUUGGGCGUAAAGGGUCCGUAGGUGGUUUAUCGCAUCUCCUGUUAAAUGCCGAAGCUCAACUUCGGAACUGCGGGAGAGAUGGACAAACUAGAGGCCGGAAGAGGUAAGCGGAAUUGCUGGUGUAGGGGUUAAAUCCGUUAAUAUCAGCAGGAACACCAAAUGCGAAGGCAGCUUACUAGGACGAGCCUGACACUAAGGGACGAAAGCGUGGGGAGCGAAUGGGAUUAGAUACCCCAGUAGUCCACGCCGUAAACGAUGGAUGCUAAACAUUGGCAGUAUCGACCCUGCCAGUGUUGUUCAAUUAAGCUAACGCCUUAAGCAUCCCGCCUGGGGAGUACGAGCGCAAGCUUAAAACUCAAAGGAAUAGACGGGGACCCGCACAAGCGGUGGAGC